UGGGGAAUUUUGGACAAUGGGCGAAAGCCUGAUCCAGCAAUGCCGCGUGUGUGAAGAAGGCCUUCGGGUUGUAAAGCACUUUUGUCCGGAAAGAAAUCCUUGGCUCUAAUACAGUCGGGGGGAUGACGGUACCGGAAGAAUAAGCACCGGCUAACUACGUGCCAGCAGCCGCGGUAAUACGUAGGGUGCAAGCGUUAAUCGGAAUUACUGGGCGUAAAGCGUGCGCAGGCGGUUUGCUAAGACCGAUGUGAAAUCCCCGGGCUCAACCUGGGAACUGCAUUGGUGACUGGCAGGCUAGAGUAUGGCAGAGGGGGGUAGAAUUCCACGUGUAGCAGUGAAAUGCGUAGAGAUGUGGAGGAAUACCGAUGGCGAAGGCAGCCCCCUGGGCCAAUACUGACGCUCAUGCACGAAAGCGUGGGGGAGCAAACAGGAUUAGAUACCCUGGUAGUCCACGCCCUAAACGAUGUCAACUAGUUGUUGGGGAUUCAUUUCCUUAGUAACGUAGCUAACGCGUGAAGUUGACCGCCUGGGGGAGUACGGUCGGCAAGAUUAAAACUCAAAGGAAUUGACGGGGU
rnacentral:rRNA from 1 species